UGACGUCAUACUUAACUUCCAAAAAAAUUAAGAAACACCAAAUAAAAUGAGCAAUAGAUUAAUCAUUUAAUAAACGAUUGUAAUAAAAAAAAUAGAAACAGAACAAGUGAUAUCUCAAACAAAGCCAACACAAAAAAAAUCAGUCACCAUGGUAUCAAAACACCAUAAAUCUGUAGCAACAAUUGGAUUUUAUAUCAACCUUCUUCCCAUUUUUG